rnacentral:rRNA from 1 species
GAUGAACGCUGGCGGCGUGCUUAACACAUGCAAGUCGAACGGGAUCCAAGGGGUGCUUGCACUUUUUGGUGAGAGUGGCGAACGGGUGAGUAACACGUGAGUAACCUGUCCUUUUCUUUGGGAUAAGCAUUCGAAAGGGUGUUUAAUACCUUAUGUUCUGUCUGCCUCGCAUGGGGUGGGUGGGAAAGGCUUUGGCCGGAUUUGGGUGGGCUCGCGGUCUAUCAGCUUGUUGGUGGGGUGAUGGCUUACCAAGGCUUUGACGGGUAGCCGGCCUGAGAGGGUGGUCGUUCACAUUGGGACUGAGAUACGGCCCAGACUCCUGCGGGAGGCAGCAGUGGGGGAUAUUGCACAAUGGGCGAAAGCCUGAUGCAGCGACGCCGCGUGGGGGAGGAAGGCCUUCGGGUUGUAAACUUCUUUUGCUCUGAACAAGGCAUGCCAGUGGGUGUGUUGAGUGUAGGGGUUGAUUAGCGCCGGCUAACUACGUG